UUAGUUCGGUAAAGUACUUGAUUAAGUGUUCUAUGCUAGCGCUUGAGUUUUUAUUUUUAUCGUGUUUAUUCAUGAUAGCUAGACUUUGCUUCAAAAGGGUGUAAGCAUUGGUCUGAGUGAAGUUAUGGCGAGUGCUGGUAAACACCAAUAAACUUUAUCGAUGAACUUAUCCCUACAAUACGUACAACUCUAUGCGAUAGGUUUGAUUUUCUAUUUUCUAUUUGCACAUUUUUUUUGUAUGAUGCUGAAAAUUUAUUCAACUUGUAUGAUCACUCUUCAACUUGUUAUAUAGCAUGCAAGAGGUUCAUAAAUCAGCUGGCUUGGCAUUUAGCAUUCUUUACCAGGUUUACCUAUAUGUUUUAUUUGAUGUUCCUUAAUUGACAAUUUGCUAGAAUGCAAGGAAUUGAUGAAAAAUUUUCCACACCCCUUCAUGCAUUAGAGGAUGAUGAAACUUCUGAUACAGUGCUUGAUGGACUCAAACAAAUAUUGAGGCUAUUUAAUUAUUUGGUGUCUUCAUACUUCUUUCGUGGCGGCAAGCAAGCUUGUUUAAUUACCCUUGUAUCCUCAUUUCUUGCCUAUUUCAAUGUAGGGAUUACGGUCGUUUUGCUCACAUCUUGCCUAAAUUAGUCCAGUUUCCGCUUUCAUGAGAUUGACAUGGUAGUUCUUACUUCACCUGUUCAUUUUAUCUAGUGCCUUCAAUGCUUAUGCUUUGGGUGCCAUAGCUGAAGUUGCCAUCUUAAUUCACAUAUUGGAAUGAUCCUCCCACCAUUAAUUAUGUCAAUGGGUGAUUAUGAUGGGGUAAAUCAAUUUAUGAUUUAUUAAAAGUUUUGUAUGAUUUUUCUUAAAUAUGACCAUUUGACUCUCACAAUAGGUGAUCAGCCUUUUUACUGUUACAAUUUUUUCAUAUGAUUUUUAGAACAAUUGUUGUUGGAUAAGGUCCAAAUCCAAUAAUUAUAUGUUUGUCUUAGGACACUACUAACAGUAUUUUUUGAAUUCCUAUUGAUUAUUUCGACAUGCUUUUCUUAAAUUGAAUUUAUCUUUGCUCUUUCGAAUAUCUUAGUAUAAUAAUGAUAACCACUAUUCAUAAAUUGAUGAAAAAAAGCAGGAUAUGUUUUUCAGAUUAACAAGUGAGGAACACCAAAUGCUUGUAUACCUUUUCUGACAAUGAAUUUUCAAACGAUGAAGCAUUCCUAUCUUCUGUUUAUUCCUUUGCAUGAGCAUUUUUCUCAGCAGACAUUAUUAGUCAUGCUAUUGUCUUCCAUCUCUUUGCACAAUCCAUCCUCAUUGCACCGAAGUAUGCUCUUUCCAUCUUUUAUAGAUGCUCUCAAAGAUUCCUUGAAAGAUGAAAAGUUCCUAAAUUUGUCUACAACCAAGACAAUCAGUAGCUUCUCAAGAUGACUCAAGUGUGGUCAGACGAAGAGUCCUCUUUGGCAUAAAGGUCUAUGCAAAACAGUUAAAGUCUUUCGAUUUUAGGCCCAGCUAUUGCAGAAAGUUUAAAGAAUGGGAGUGGCCCAGUAAGACUUCCGCUAAGUGUUGUGCUCUGCUUGUUUUUCAGUUAACAAAAGGUUAGUGUUAUGUUGAUUUUGUUUAUCAUAGUUUCUCUUUAGCCUCUUGGAAUUCUUAGAAUUCUUUGACUAUUCAUUCAAUUUCAUUUUAGUAGUAAUUUAUUGCAAGUUAUUUAGGCAUUUUACUUCCAAAUCUACUGCAAUCUAUAAUUAUAUGUUGUCAAAUUGAAUUGUCUUUGACUUUAAUAUAUGGAACUACAUGAAAGUACCAUGCUUUAGCAGCUAUCACCUUUCUAUCAAGGUUCUAGAAAAUGUAUCUCACCAAAAACUUGACAAGCGUAAAAAUAGGCGGAGACAUCCAAUUUUAAAGCUUUUUAAAAAUAGGUUUGAUUCUUGUUUCCACUUGCUUAUAUGUGGAUGAUUGGCCAAUGUUCUUCCCUUUUUCUUGAAAUUUGACAAGAUUUAGAUUCUUGUUUUCCCUUGCUUAUACGUGGAUGAUUGACCAAUGUUCUCCUUUUCUUGAAAUUUGACAAGGAAGAUUGUUAUGUUGGAUAGGGUAUGUAUUGAGAGGACUAUUGACUAUAUCAAGAAAGUAACUACUCGAUGGUGUCUCUGAGUGAUAAAUGGUCUUCUAGGCCUGAGAUGUGGGAUGGUCUAGACUAUCAGAUACGAAUGUUCACGAGGGAAAGCUUCUUGAAUGUUCAUACAAUCAAAGUUGUGUUGGCGUAUGGGUUGUGGACCUCUCUGUGCGUAUUCUAACUCAUUCUAUUAGGCUUAAAAAUAUAUUUUUGCUUCUUGAGAAAACAUUAAAUGGUCACUAAAUCUGUAAAUAUAAAGUUUAAUACUAGCUGAUAUUAUGAAAUGCAGUGCAUUGAACCAUAUGCAAUUGCUAGUCCUAGAUUAAAUGAUCAUUCAGGACAAAAGUCUACAUCAGAUGGUAAUCCAUCUAUGCCAGAUGAUAACAUAAAGUCUAGUAUGAGGAGGUUAUCAAUAUUACAGAGUUCUGAAACAAAUUCUAAGGAGACAAAAUCAUUACUAGGUAGGCUAUUUGAAUAGUUUUUAUUGCAUUUUUCAUUUUAUGUGUUUGGAGCAGGUAUGAGAUAUGAAUAUUUCUCUUUUCUGUAAUUGGAGCAUGUGCUAGCACGAGAGCACCUCUGGUCGCACCAACAUCCGUUUCUUCCUCUGUAAAAAGAAGUUUAUCAAAACUUUAGUCCACAUCCAACCUUCAGACCAUCCAAGCAGAUAUGGUACCUAUGAUUGUUCCAAGAACUAGCAUGAGAAUACACUUGUCCUCUGAUUUUACUAUAGACUCUGGGGUUGGUAAAACAAUGCCAUUUGAUAUCCAAUUAAAAUUUACUGAAUUUUGGAAGGUGUUAAACAUCAAAUAGAAUUCAGAUAAAACAGAUAUCCAUUCAGUCUGGAUAUUUGAGCAGUAGUAAUAUUGAACAAAAUGAAUUUCUUGGCCAAACUCCUAUUUCUUUUGGCAAUUCAACAUGUGUCAGCUGAAACAAAUAAUUUGGAUGGUGUUAAGAACUUGAUUAAAGGAAGGAUCAGGUCUAUCCAAUUUAUUCAGAGAACCACAUUUGCACUUUGAUCAGGAAAAUUGUAAGUCUGAUGCCACCUUAUUUUGUUUUGUUAGAUUAUUCAUGAUUCCAACUUAUCAAGAUUUCUUGAUAUUAUUGUUGAACGUUGUUAGUUAUAGGACAUUCUAAAGCAUACAUCAUCACUAUUCUAUGUUAUUUUGUAUUGUGAUUAAAUAUUUCUUUGCAAAUCAUGGCAUAGAUAAUGAAGAGAACUUCCAGAGUGAAAUUUCAGCAUUGAUAAUUUUCAAUCUUGGUUGGACUAAUACCAAACUCCUGAGUUGGAUCUAUAUAAAUUCUUACCCUAUCAAGUGUCACCUCCAAGAAAUUAAGUAUUCAAGGAAGAAUGUAUUGAAGAUCAUGCACAAUCUUCAUCAAUACCAAGUACCCUUGCAACAUUAUAUGAACAUGAUGGAUCUUCAGGUAUGUAAGGUAACUGGAAUUUAAUCUUCCUAAGUAAUUGGUUUGAAUUAUUUCCAACCUCAUUUGGUUUACGUAUGAUUUAAUCUUUAGGAGAAGAUCUUUUACAAACUCCUCAUUGACCAUGUGGAAGAAUUGCUUCCAAUUAUUUAUACACCUAUUGUCGGAGAGGCAUGCUAGACUCUAUCUUUAGGCAUCCUCAGGGCCUCUAUAUCAGUUUGAAUGAGAAGUUAUUAUGUUGCUUGAGUUGCUUCCUAAUCCAAUUACUGAAAUUUAUGGAAUAAAUUGAGUUUUCAAAGGAAGGAUUCUUGAGGUACUGAGAGACUGGCCUGAAAGGAAUAUUCAAAUUAUUGUGGUCAUAGAUGGUGAGCGGAUCUUGGGUUUUGGGGAUCUUGUCUGCCAGGGCAUGGGAAUUCCUAUGGGCAAACUUGCUUUAUAUAGUGUACUUGGUGGAGUCCGUUCAUCUGCUGUGAAAGUUCUGUGAAUAAGAUGGAGCAACAUGCUAAUUGUGUGGGGAACUAUUUAUAAGUUCUUCCUUUUGCCUUUGAAGGAAAGCAAAUCAACCUCCAGCAACCUCAAAGAAGCUUCUGUUACGUCAUUCUCAGAAGCCCAUGUGCAUGGUCUUGUCUGGUGUAGUAGGUUAAGUUGACAAGGAAACUACAAAAUGGUGUCACAACAACAGAUUUGGUUUUGACUGUCACCCAAAUGUUGAGGAAAAUAUGGAGUUGUUCGCAAGUUUGUCAAGUUCUAUGGUAAAGGAAUGGGUGAGUUAUCAUUGGCUGAUAGGGCAACAAUAACUAAUAUGUCACCUGAAUUUGGAGCAACAAUGGGUUUUUUCCCCAUGGAUCAUGUGACCUUGCAAUAUCUUAAGUUGACUGGAAGAAGUGAUGAGACUAUGAGUAUACUUAUUCAACAAGCGUGUAACUUGUCUGUACUGAAAAUGACAUGGUCCCAAACCAUUAUGUCAGUUUUUCUAUUUCGUUUCUUCAACAUAGAAAUGCAUAUUACCCUUUUAGACAUUAAUCUAACCAUGAAAUGAUAGGAGAGAGCAAAUUUCAUGAAAGGGGAUGGUGUAAGAAGAUACAUACUUGAGUGACUAUUGAAGUUUAGAAAACAUAUCCAAUGUGUGAUAAUCACAUGAAUUUGAACAUCUCUAGUGCAACAAUCUUGUUGGUUCAAGUGAGCUAAAUUGAAAAAUUCAAAUGAUAUAAGUCACCUUAUCUAAUAUUCAUAUGUUUCAAUGUAACACUGCAAAUAUGAAUAUUUCUGUGCUUAUUUAGCUACUUAACUCAUUC